GAGCCUCGGGGGCGACUCCACCUAAUUCAAGGGAGCCGAUCCCUGACAACGGUGGGGUUUUUUUCAGCGCCGGAGCCGGUGACAGAGGUGCCCAAUUCGCAGCCCCGAGGGCGCGGGGGCCCCGAGGAUGUGGUGCCUGCCCGGGGCACCGCGGUCCCAUCGCAGUCCUGCGGCCCGUGCCUGGCGCUCGUGCUCCUGGCCCCGCUCUGGAUCUGACCCCGGCGCUGCCCGUGGCGGGGGGAUGGGCUCCCCUGCCCCGACGCCGCUUCCAGACUCUUCCUCACAGCCAAACCCCCCAAGCCCGUGGGGCAGCCCCAGGCCAUGACCCGCCUGCUGGACCUCCGCAAAGCCGAGCUGGGGCCGGGAGCUCCGGGCCGGAAGGACCGUCGCUUGCCACCGGCAUCAGCGCACAUCGGGAUCGCCACGAGUCGGCAUCGCCGCGCGCCGGGAUUGCCACGCCCUGGCGCUGUCCCGCCGGCCACCUGCCCCGGUGCCGGGGUCCCCUCAGCGAACGCCUGCUCUGCCCCACGGCUAUCACCUCAUCUCGUGCCUUUCCCCAUGGACCCCCGGCUCUGGGGCCCAGGGACCCCCAACCCCGGCGCGGGGCAGCCGCCCCCCCCCCCCCCCCCCCCCCCUCCGAUGGCGGCAUCCGCCGCUGCCGUGUCCUCCUCCAGCGAGGACACGCUGAUCUGUCUUCUGGGAAGACGCCUUCCUCCGUGCCCUCGGUUUGGUUUUAACCCCUGGUAGUGACUGAGCAAUACAGUAUUUGCAAGAUCGCUGCGCCCCGGGUGUGCGGCCCCCCCGGCGUCCCCCUGCCCGUGCCCCCCAUCCCUGCAUCCUUCCUCCAGGGGGGUCCCUGCCCCUUGUUCCCCGCACAGCCUUUGUGGCCGAGGGCUUGACU
rnacentral:lncRNA from 1 species